rnacentral:lncRNA from 1 species
AUGUGGUGAUGCUUUUACUUCCAGGGACCCAGCAACCUGCCUGUAAUCUGGCGGGUAAACAGUGUUUGGCUGCAGCCCAGUCCCUGCACAGCAUUUUGAUCACACUCCUGUGACAGGGAACACCUGUGGACGACUGCUGAAGAUAAGACUUGUCAAGCACGCUGAGAAGCAGCAUAGUCCCUGCAUACCAAUGGCCUGGAGGACAAACAGCGUCUCAAGGGAGCUGUACACAGAUCUGUGCUGCUCGGUCGUGACACACAGGAUGCAGCUUCACUGGGUUUCUUAACAAGCUCUUAAACUGAGGGGAGCUCCUUGAGAUGUUCACAUAUCAAAAGUAAUUAAUUCUUCUAAAGUUGAUAAUCACAGCGUUAAUUAUACUUGUUUACAUCUUCAGAGGUAUAAUCAGAAGGCCCUAUGCGUAUUCAUGAGUCUUGAUUAUGGAUGCAGUUUAACAUAGAAGAGGUUUUAGUCCUGAGGCACCUGAUGGUGCUAAAAGUAAAUGACAUUAAUGCAUGAUUAAUGCUGUUAAGAGAGCAAUCAUCAAUUUGUCUAAACAGGAAAAGGAUGAUUUUGGUGAAAAAGAAAACAAGUUUAAUGUGGCAGUUCUGUUAUGAUUGCUAUGUUUAAAACACACUCAGGGUGUGAUUUAUGUGUUAGCAUGGUUAUGUGGAAAAUGAGAUGAAAAAUAGUGAAGCAUAAAAGUAAAAGAGACAUAGUCUUCUCUGGAAUAUAUAGUAUAUACUGUGACGACCCUUCGCUCCACUAGGGGUCCUUGUCUUGUUUGCUGGUUCUGCUUUGUUUUUCAGGAUCCUGGUCAGAGCAAAGGGUCAUCAUCAGCCAUAUGAGCCACACCUAGGCCCAGACUGCUUGGUUAAGUUUAAGAAAAGAUUGUAAGUUAGGUUACGUUACAUACCUGACAUUAUUCGAGUAGAUUAUGUAAGUUUUGGUUUUACACAAACCACAAACAGCGGCCAUCUGGGUUCAAGUCCUGCGUUUGUCUAAACCAUCC